UUCGCAAUGCCCGAAAGGGUGACGAAGCGACGCCGCGUGCGGGAAGAAGGCCUUCGGGUUGUAAACCGCUGUCGGGAGUUAAGAAGUGCAGGGAUGUUAAUAGCAUCCCUGCUUGACUAAGGCUCCGGAGGAAGCCACGGCUAACUCUGUGCCAGCAGCCGCGGUAAUACAGAGGCGGCAAGCGUUGUUCGGAAUUAUUGGGCGUAAAGAGCACGUAGGCGGCCUUGUAAGUCAGUUGUGAAAGCCUUCUGCUCAACGGAAGAACAGCAUCUGAUACUGCAAGGCUAGAGUGCGGAAGGGGAGAGUGGAACUUCUGGUGGAGCGGUGAAAUGCGUAGAUAUCAGAAGGAACGCCGGCGGCGAAAGCGGCUCUCUGGCCCGUAACUAACGCUGAGUGUGCGAAAGCUAGGGGAGCAAACGGGAUUAGAUACCCCGGUAGUCCUAGCCGUAAACGAUGGGCACUAAGUAGAGGGGUUUU
rnacentral:rRNA from 1 species